UUCCAGCAUUUUAUACCUCACUGUAUCUUCAAUCUCUCACUGCAUUUAUAGACAUUAAAAGACAUAUUCCUGCCUACUUCUUGCCUAAUGCAUUUCUG